AUCCCGUGAUGAGGACAUUGUCUUUGCAAACGUAGAAACCUUCUCCAUGCUUCAUACAAUGAUUCGUCGUCAUGUUGCUCAAAGGUUGCUAACUCGUUCCUCAGCUU
rfam:Beta vulgaris subsp. vulgaris chromosome 4, whole genome shotgun sequence.